CUGGGAGUGGAGACAGAAAGGCACAGGUAAGUGUUCACAAUAUUCACGUCAAACUGAUUUUAAACUGCACUACUUCCACCUUUUACUCAAGCACACAAAUAUGCUGAAACCCUCAUCCACAUCGUGUGCACUGUGUUACAGGUGGUGCGGCUAAAUUAACCCCCGGCUACCGGACGAGCUACCGGACGUCCCCGGAGAACACCUAUACAAAUACACACAUACACACACACACACACACACACACACCAUUAACCAAAUCAGAAUUAAAGUAUUUUGACUGAAAUACCUCUGUGGCUCAUCAUUUGCUAAUCAUGUGUAGCUUUUAAUUUAACAACCCUAAAUGUUGUGUCUACCUGCAC